ACUAACAGGAUUCCCCUAGUAACUGCGAGUGAAGCGGGAAAAGCUCAAAUUUAAAAUCUAAUGGUCCUUGGCCAUUCGAGUUGUAAUUUAGAGAAGCGUCUUCCGCGCCAGACCAUGUACAAGUCUCCUGGAACGGAGCGUCAUAGAGGGUGAGAAUCCCGUCUUUGACAUGGACCCUUGGUGCUUCUGUGAUGCGCUCUCAAAGAGUCGAGUUGUUUGGGAAUGCAGCUCAAAAUGGGUGGUGAACUCCAUCUAAGGCUAAAUAUUGGCGAGAGACCGAUAGCGAACAAGUACCGUGAGGGAAAGAUGAAAAGCACUUUGGAAAGAGAGUGAAACAGUACGUGAAAUUGUUGAAAGGGAAACACUUGAAGUCAGUCGCGUCGAUCGAGACUCAGCCUUGCCUUGGCUUGGCGUACUUCUCGACUUGACGGGCCAGCAUCAAUUUCRUCCCUCGGAUAAUGGCAGGGGAAAGGUGGCACCUUCACGGGUGUGUUAUAGUCUCUUGUCGCAUGCGAGGGGUGGGAUUGAGGAACUCAGCACGCACCUCACGGUGUCGGGGCUUCGGCCCACGUUACGUGCUCAGGAUGCCGGCGUAAUGGCUUUAAAUGACCCGUCUUGAAACACGGACCAAGGAGUCUAACAUGCCUGCGAGUGUUCGGGUGGAAAACCCGUGUGCGUAAUGAAAGUAAAAGUUGGGACCUCUGUCGUGGAGGGCACCGACGCCCGGACCAGACCUUCUGUGACGGAUCUGCGGUAGAGCAUGCAUGUUGGGACCCGAAAGAUGGUGAACUAUGCCUGAAUAGGGUGAAGCCAGAGGAAACUCUGGUGGAGGCUCGUAGCGAUUCUGACGUGCAAAUCGAUCGUCAAAUUUGGGUAUAGGGGCGAAAGACUAAUCGAACC
rnacentral:rRNA from 2 species